CUUCCCAGGGAGGAGAAAAUGGAAAUCAGAGAGGAGAAAAUGGAAAUCAGGAGCAGGAACCUGGUGUGGUCACAUCCUCACAUUCGCAUUUCUGCAAUAUAUAAGCCCAUGUCCCCACUCUAGGCAGAAGCAGCAAUAAAGCAGUGUCAACCUGGACAAA